rnacentral:sRNA from 1 species
GCUGGGUGUGGUGGUGCUCGCAUGUAAUCCCAGCAACACAGGAGGCUGAGGCAGGAGGAUUGCAAGUUCAAGGCCAGCCUCAGCAACUUAGCAAGGCCCUGAGUAACUUAGUGAGACCCUGUCUCAA